AAAGUAGUCCCUCCGUCCCAAAAUUCUUGUCUUAGAUUUGUCUAGAUACAGAUCUAUCAAGUCACAUUUUAGUAUUAGAUACAUUCUGUCUCUAGACAAAUCUAAGACAAUAAACUUGGGAUAGAGGGAGUGGUUG
rnacentral:pre_miRNA from 1 species